AAAAAAGGUAAGCUACUAAGAGCGAAUGGUGGAUGCCUUGACUGGUAAAGGCGAUGAAGGACGUACUAGACUGCGAUAAGCUACGGGGAGCUGUCAAGAAGCUUUGAUCCGUAGAUUUCCGAAUGGGGCAACCCAAUGUAUAGAGAUAUACAUUACCUAUAUAGGAGCGAACGAGGGGAAUUGAAACAUCUUAGUACCCUCAGGAAAAGAAAUCAAUAGAGAUUGCGUCAGUAGCGGCGAGCGAAAGCGCAAGAGGGCAAACCCAGUGCUUGCACUGGGGGUUGUAGGACUGCAAUGUGCAAGAGGUGAGUUUAGCAGAACAUUCUGGAAAGUAUAGCCAUAGAGGGUGAUAGUCCCGUAUGCGAAAAACAAACCUUAGCUAGCAGUAUCCUGAGUAGGGCGGGACACGAGGAAUCCUGUCUGAAGCUGGGUCGACCACGAUCCAACCCUAAAUACUAAUACCAGAUCGAUAGUGCACAAGUACCGUGAGGGAAAGGUGAAAAGAACUGAGGUGAUCAGAGUGAAAUAGAACCUGAAACCAUUUGCUUACAAUCAUUCAGAGCCCUAUGUAGCAAUACAGGGUGAUGGACUGCCUUUUGCAUAAUGAGCCUGCGAGUUGUGGUGUCUGGCAAGGUUAAGCAAACGUGAAGCCGUAGCGAAAGCGAGUCUGAAUAGGGCGCUUAGUCAGAUGCUGCAGACCCGAAACGAAGUGAUCUAUCCAUGAGCAAGUUGAAGCUAGUGUAAGAACUAGUGGAGGACUGAACCCAUAGGCGUUGAAAAGCCCCGGGAUGACUUGUGGAUAGGGGUGAAAGGCCAAUCAAACUUCGUGAUAGCUGGUUCUCUCCGAAAUAUAUUUAGGUAUAGCGUUGUGUCGUAAUAUAAGGGGGUAGAGCACUGAAUGGGCUAGGGCAUACACCAAUGUACCAAACCCUAUCAAACUCCGAAUACCUUAUAUGUAAUCACAGCAGUCAGGCGGCGAGUGAUAAAAUCCGUCGUCAAGAGGGAAACAACCCAGACUACCAGCUAAGGUCCCUAAAUCUUACUUAAGUGGAAAACGAUGUGAAGUUACUUAAACAACCAGGAGGUUGGCUUAGAAGCAGCCAUCCUUUAAAGAAAGCGUAAUAGCUCACUGGUCUAGUGAUUUUGCGCGGAAAAUAUAACGGGGCUAAAGU
rnacentral:rRNA from 1 species